AUGGCAUCUGUAUAAAAGGCUGUUAAAGGAAAGAGACUUUUACUGUGGGACUUUGAUUUUGAUAAGUGCAAUUCCUGACCUUUCCAGGAGCUGCGUUCUUGUUCACUACCUGCUGUGUUAUAGUUGUAAUACUGAGAGAACGUCAGCGGUUUAAAUAUAAGUUUCUCCUGCCUGUCAUUCUGGUUUAUCGUUGGUGAUUUGGUGUUAAAGUGCAAGUACAUGACUAACUAUGAUUUAAUACACUUUGAAAAAGAAGCUCCCAUCUCCUCAUAAUGUUUUGACACACAAUGACCACAAAGACAUUAACCCACCUUUAUGCAACUGAGGUGCUUGCUGGCCACUGCCCAGUUAGCGUCGACUGCCUCUGGUGACUUAAACAGGUAAAUGCCAUCAAUGUCAAGGCUGGCUGGUCCCUGGAACUCAGCAAGGAUGGACUCUAUCACCAAAGCAGUCUCCUGUAACACAACCCUUUUGGAGGUGAAUAAAGAAUUUGGCUCUGUUUGAUCACAACGGUAGUGGCAGAUGUCCAGCCUGAUGAAGGUACCUCUCUUCACCCAGUUUCCAAACCGAUUCUCCAAGAACAACGGACUGCUGUCACUGAAAAUAAUAUCAUGAUAUUUUGUGUAGGUGUGUUACAUGUUGGAUUAUCCAUUUCAUCAUAGGUUUCAACUGCUCUUUGAAAUCACCGACAGCAGUUGUUGUUCGCGUACACCACCUUCAGGGCAGGAGCUUUGGCACAGCGAAAACAAGACCUCUGGCCAUGCGUGCGUAACACCCCUUGGACGCCACAACCACUGUGGUCAAGAACUGACCCCACUUAUUCAGCAUGCUGGUGACGUACUGCAUAAUGCCCUGGCCGUCGCCGUAGAUCUUCUUGAGAAUCUAUGAGGCUGUUUAUACUUGGCAUUAGCAUGCGUUUUCAUCGAUCGGAGCACAAGUGGACGACGGUAAUGCCAGGUGUAAACGGUGUUCAAAAUGUUUUGAGCUCGUCCAGUUUCGACCACUUUCAACCACAUUCAGAGGUAGUCGAAAACCCUUUCGAUUGGAUUGCUUUUGUAGUGUAAACGCACAUGUGGUUGUAUAUGUUCGAACAGCCACACGCGACCACCUUCUCUCUGCCCAUUUAUCUAAUCUGAGGUACUAAACUCAAUUUUUUACGUCUUUUCUGACUUCUUGCGCGAACACACGGUGUACAGCACUAUUAUUGAUAAAACUAAAGCGGCUGAUCUCCGCAGUUUCAUUUUGCAAGCAUGUGAAAGUUGUACGAUCAUAUUUCAUCAAUUGCGCUUAAAAUUCAGAGAAAGCUCUAACAAAUACAUGUACAAAACACUGUGCAGCAUGUUUACUUACAACAAAAGCAGUGGAUUCAGACAUAAUAUUAGUUUGUGUCCAUAUAAACUCGCCAUUCCUCCCGCUCAAAUUUAAAUGACAGGAGAUGGACUCAACAGACCACCCCCUCACAGUAUUCAGGACAGAAGUGGUAAAAAGUGGUGAAAGAGACGGAUAUAAAUACCAGGUGUAAACGUAAUGUGUCUCUCUCGUCCACUUGUGAUCCGAUCGAUGAAAACACAUCUUAACACAAAGUGUAAACAGCCCCUAUAAAAAUAAAGCAGAACGUGUGGUGUUUAUCAACAGUCAGUCUGUUCCAUAUGAUCACAAGAACUUUUGGCUAUACAUACCUUAAUCGUGCCAUCAAUGCACAAGAUUUCCCCAGUCGUACUGAGGAUUUGGUCCCUGUACACGGGUAUCUUCUCCAUCUCCAGGAUCGCCUCAGGACCCGAGCAGAUGGAAGUGGAGACAGGGCGAUGGGAGGGGUGUAAGUGCCAGCUGCUCUGGCAAACGAAAGGAUACCUCGCUGAGAUGAAGAUGGUGGGCAUCAUACAGGAGAGUCUGGUACAGGUCCCGACGUUCCACGUACCACUCGUCGUGGCCCUGCUCUGUAGCAGCCUCUGCACUUUACUCAUUGAGACUGCGUUGAGUCGGUCGCUCAUCAGGGUGACCACACUCCUGUCCACAGCACACUUGCCGCAGAUUAUGGCAGGGAACAUGCUUCUGACGGCCGGGGUGAGGUUCAUCAGAUUUUUGGACUGUACGCCAGCCAGGCGUACUGCUGCUGGGCAGCAUGGUGGGCCCCGUCUUCCUCGUCGUUGUCUCACCCCCCGACCUUUCUACAGCUCACCCCCGGACCUCUUGGCAGCCGCCACUGCUGUCUUGCGAUCCAGCCAUGUAGGGUCAACAACGGUGCUGGGGGCCUCUGCCACAGACUUUGCUGCCUCUGUACACUGCAGCCUGGCCUCUCCUUGCUGGUACAAAACGAUGUUGGGGUACUUGUGUUGCUGUUGAUUGCUGACCAGCAAUGAUUUGGUGGUCAAGCUCUUCCUGCAGACAUCACAGUCAAUAUCCCUGACGACGGCAUGGAUCUUCAGAUGCCUCGUCAGGUUGGACUUUUCGGUGAAAGUCUUGUCGCACACACUGCACCGAUGUCUAGGCUUCUCCAUGUUUCAUUUGGUACAGUAAAACAUAAAUAAAUGAGUAGAACUAAAAGCAGAUGAGGGCUUAAAUACAUUUUUAGAGACGCUGCAGCACUCGUAAAAGUAGUAAUGGAAAACAGCCCAUUCAUUCACUUUGUUUUAAGCAUGCAAAUCAAGGUUGACAUGUUUACACUUCUAAAGCAUAUUUACACAUCGAAUUUCAAUUCCCCAUUGUUGUAACACCAUUCUAUGCACUGCAAAAAAUGAAUGUCUGUCUUAGUAUUUUUGUCUUGUUUUCUAAUAUAAAUAUCUAAAUAGAGAUACAUUUACUUGAUAAGCAAGUAGCCUAAGUAUAAACGAUGAAAAUCAAGAGUUUUUUUACUUCAUCUGCUAGUGCAGUAAGAAACAUAAGCUUAAUUCCAGUUUCAACUUAAUUCAAUAAACUUAAUUUAAGCUGAUUUUUCUUAAACAAAUGUAAGAAUUUAUGUUAGAAAACAAGACAAAAAUACAAAGUAAAACAUUCAUUUUUUGCAGUGUGGUCUUAAGAAGUGUCUGAUCAUGUUUUUGAAGUAUUUCCAGGGAUCGUUAGGUCAUUGCAGCAGCGAUUAGUAGCUGAUUAAUUCAUUUUCAAUGCAUUCGGUUAAUAAAUAAUAUAUAUUAUAUACAGUUUUUCCCUGUUGCUUAAACACUAUAGACCCAUGCUUAGACUAAAGUAACACAACUUAAAGCUUUUGAUACCAUACCUCAAACACAUGUACUCAUACUUUAAACCAAAGCGCUGCUUUGCACUCUAGUUGAAAUUCUGCAACACACUUACCCCUUUAUGCAACACACUUGAUCUUCAUUCAAAAAUGAAAUCUCAGGGUGCCAUUUGGAAAACACAAAACACAUGGGGUAAUUGAAACCACUCAAAUACACACCUAAAGGCACUCACUUGCAAAACUGAACACCAAUCAACCAGCUACAAAAAAGUCCUCAUUUUAGCCAUUUCAAGAACUUUGCAAGCAUGGAUUGAGGGAGAGCAAGAGGCAGAGGUAGAGCAAGAGGAAGAUGAGGACAAGGUCAAGGUCGAAGAGUCCAUGCACGGACCCUUAUUUCUGAUGAUAUAAGAGCAACUUUGGUGGACCAUGUCAUCAACCAUGGCCUGACUAUGAGGGAAGCUGGGCAGAGAGUCCACCCACAUCUAAGCAAUCACAGGGGUAUCUGUAAUAAGAACAUUCCGACUAGAAAACAGAAUGACUAGAAGACCUUCUGGGGGAGAAUGCCAACGCCUGUUCACACAACAGCAGAAACUUGCCAUUGUGGAGCUAGUGGGGGCAGACAAUGCCAUCCGUCUCCACCAGCUACGAAAAUACUUGCAGACAGGCAAGUGUUCAACAACAUAAACCAUGUGAGCAUCACCGCCAUCAGACGCAUCUUGAGAAAACACCACAUCAUCAUGAAGCAGCUCUACAUACCCAGUGUAUGGGUCAAAGGACUUCUAGCUGAAUAUGUACAGAGAAUCUUGGCCAUGGAUGGAGCUGUACAGCCUCAUGUACCUAGCGGGAGAAGACAUUGCUUGCGAUGUCGAUGAGGUCCUGUGGCCAGACCCCAACAGACGGCAGGAUCCAUGAGCCCACGUAUGCACAAUUGCCAUGAUUUUCUGUGUUUACAGUGUAGUGUUUUUUCAAUUUUCUUUUUUUUGCUUUAACUGGAUUCACGUAACUGUAAUGUACAGUGCUGCAAUGUACAAUAUUGAGUAGGCCUACUUGCUUUUUUGGUUGUUUGAAAAUGUGCCUCCUGAAAAUAUGUCUUCUGAAUAAACAGUACAAAUCAAAGACUGCAGUGUUUUAUAUCAAGCAGACUAGUGUGUUCCCCCUGAUCUGAAAGUGUAUGCAUAUGAUGCAAGUAUGUGUCAUUUUGUCAUUAGUGUUACAUUUUGACAAAGGAAUGUUAGGUUUUGAUAGCAGAGUUUAGGUUUUGAUAGUAGAGUUUCAAUUUUACACAGAUGUGAAUGGUAUAUUUCCCAGUGUAGUGUCAUGUUUACUUGUGUGUAGAGUUUUGGCACAAUGAGCGAAGUUUUGCGAAAUGUGUUCAAGCAAUGGGCUAAAACUGCAUAUAAGCAUAUUUAAACUUUACAUUUCGAGUCCAUACAACAGUGUGCACCUGGCUUAAGAGAUCAAACAACCAGCUUUAAACUUUUUCGGCUACCAACCGCCCUUCUGCCCCUGGUAGGAUGAACCUUGGAUGUCCAUCAGUCAACCAUUGGUUCGGUGAGAGUGAGAGGGUAUGGGACUCAGCUUCAAUCAUUUGCAUCAGAAGACACAAGGGCAGCAGAUACACGUCGUACACGGAUAAGGAAUAUCAUUACAGUUUUAUUUCAAUUGCUAAACGACAGUGGGCACAACUGGAGUCACGUGUGCAAAACUCUAACUACAGUUUGCACAGCAGCAGUUCAUGUGGACCAAACUCUAGUUCGUUUUUCAUUGCUUGAACACAGUUUUCAAAACUCUGCACACUUAUCCCAUGACUUAGACACAACGUGCACAACGCUGUGGAUUUACAGCACUUUGUUCAAAUCCUAACACACUGCUGUCAAAACUGAACCACACAUUCAAAACAGAAUUGAUUUCAGCCUUGUGCCUUUCCAAAACUGCUGAUUGCAAUUUCAGCUGAAAGGCUAAGCUAAGGUCUCUUGAUUGAGACUUGUUAGUGAAUUACAGUAGGCCAUGUACUUUUAGUGUCUACCUUUUUUCUCAUUACAGUAAUUCCGUAAAUUACU